rnacentral:tRNA from 1 species
GGGUAUAUAGCUCAAUGGUAGAGUGCAUGCCUAGCAUGCACGAGGUCCUGAGUUCAAUCCCCAGAACCUCCA